AUGCUGCUCACAGGGAGACUGUGUUUGUCUCUGCCUUUUCAAGGAAAGAAGAGCUUGCAAAAAAAUGUUAUGAUAUCACUACUAAUAAUUUCUCUGUCCUCACAAAAACAAAUCUACAAGGUGCCAAAUUUCAGUGAACUUCUUUUGGAAGCAUUCAAUGGCACGUUAUGUCAUCUGCGCUGUCCUGGGGGAAGAAAUACAUCUCAAAGAAGUUAUUUGCAAAAUAAGAGAACAACUGAAAGCACUGUGUCACCCCAGAUCACAGGCGAAGCAUCAUACAGAAGAGAGCCUUGGGCAGUGCUCCCCUUCUCAGGUUUAGUGGGCACCAACAUCUCCCUCAGGACCUGAGCACUGUCCUGGAAAGGCUGUGAAGGGGAAAAUAUCAGCAAAGGCGCUAUAGCUAAGGGUGCAUCAGCUUCAGUUCUCUUGGGACUUCCUUUAUCUUUUUCUGAAAUGUUCAUAACCAGCUGUGUUCCUCACCUUUAUGUAACUGGCCAUCCUGUGAGAGCCCCCAGGGGCUAGAAUUUGAAAAUAACAUUAUUCUUUGUAACCAGGGCGAACUAAUAAUUUGAUGCCAGCCUCAACCUUUCACGAAUAUUCAAGCGUCUGGUUUUGAGGACACAUUAUUUUGGGUGUGGGAUAUGCCAUAGCCUCCAUGUUAUGGCCUAUUGCUAGCAUUUGUCAGAUUGUUGUUGUUGUUGUUCUGUUUGCUCAACUUUGAAGCUUACAGAAAUGUCUUAAGUUUCCAACAGGAGAAAUGGUUACAUUUAAAAAAAAUAUAAAGAUUUCUCCAAAUUUCCAGCUGUCACCCUUGGCAAUCAGAGGGGGAGAGAUUCCGCCAUAAGCAGAUGAAGCCUUUUUCAGUGGUUCAGAUGCCGACUCUCCAUCUCUUCAGCAUCCAGAGCAGUCUGUCUGCAGUGGACUGGAAGUUGUCUCAUCAGAUGCGCGGUGCAGCCUCACCACCUGACAUGUUAUGACAAGCUUUUAACUUUUGAGCGGCGAUGGAUGGAAACGUGUCACUGCUUUGGGAGCAGCACAGCACAGGCUGCCAAAAGUAGUUGAUGUUGCAGUGGCAUCAGCCCCUCCAAGGUAGACACCCGUCCCAGCCCUGGUGCUCCAUGAGGGAAGAAGCCAGGAUGCUUCAGGUGGCCUACACAGACCUGAGGCAAAUUAUUUGCUGCAAAUCCCCGUAUUCAUACACAUUUCUCAGGGCCAAAUGCCAACAGUCGAGUUAUUUGGGCUUUUCAGUGAUUGUGUCAUUUUGAUUGAAUAUUCCUCGAGUCCCCAAUUUUCUGACCAACAUCAAUCCCAAUCAGGGCCUCAGAGUCUCCUAUCAAGGCCAAGAAGCUAGUACAAAAUUUAGAGCAAAUGGAGAAAAAGAAACAUUGGUGACAGGUCGCCUGUGGUUUGAAAGAGCAAGAGCUGUCCUUCCUGGCAGGCUGCCUUUUUCUAUCUGCAAUCUGUCCUACAAAGUGGAUGGGAGAUAACUCACUGGCAGAUCCCUCCCCUGUACUCAUAAAAGAGGUUUUAAUUUACCGGUGUUAGCUUGGCACUACUGAGCAAUAUUGGAAUGACAACUCCCAUCACGCUCAAUGCACUUCCAAAACAUAUUAAUAAACUUAUAAAAGGAAAUGGAGCUGAGGAUUCA
rnacentral:lncRNA from 1 species